GUUUGUGAUCCUCUUAAUCAUAUGUUGGUUAUUGGCAUUUUUUAUCGCGGAGAUUUGCUUGCUUGCGGGUUCUUUGAGGAAUGCCUACCAUUCCAGAUACAGGAUAGUUUUUGGGGACCAACCUCCUUCUUGCUAGAUUUUGAGGAAAGGAGUCUUUGGAGUAGGGGCUGCCUUCAUUGUGUUCACUGGCAUACUCAAUGAACUCUUCUAUGUUUGCUAUUCUAAGGCUAAGGAUGGAUUCAGAUUUGACUUUGGCAAAGACAUUGGUGUGGGGUUGGGAACCUAUAGUUGAGUUUGCAUAAGAUACAACAUUGUUAGCUAAGUAUGGAACUGUUUGCACUUUGGAUUUAUAAUGUUUGGCUCACUCGUU